rnacentral:lncRNA from 7 species
AAGUUCUCAAGCAGCUAUGAUCUUCUGUGUCCUAGUUCUGUGCUCAGAUCCUACACAAUGUGUUUUUUUUUGUUUUUUUUUUUUGUUUUUUUUUGCUAAGAGUGGACUCACGGGGCCUUGUCUACAAACAAAUACUUCCAGUGUGGCUGGGAGCACAGCCAAAGUGCUGUGGGAAAGCAAAAGAGUUUGAACAACAUGCUAGUUUCUUAUAUGGAGAUGAAGAAGAAUGACUUGGGAGUGCCUGUAGAGGGUGUAAUUUUACCCAUCCCUUGAAUAAUAUAUCAGAGAGCAGAGGUGAACCUCCUCUUCUAGCAGCAGCACUGUUUUAGGUGCCAUCAAUGACAUCCUUGUCAGCCAGAUAUGUGUACUGACUGCUACACUUCCUAAAAUGCUGUUGACUUUGCUGAUGGUUCAAAGUGUGGGGAAGUUUUAUAGGCUUCAGAUCUGGAUGCUUAUCAAAGCCUGCCUGCUCUCCUGCAGUACAAGAAGACCUGUACGUGAUCUUCUGCUCCUCCCGUGCCCUGCCACAUUAAACCAUUUAUGUAGAAAGUAAGCAGUCUGGGUUUGUCCUUACGACUUCACUGGAAUCAGUUGCUUAUUCCUGUCAUAGUUCUGCCAGCAAGUGCUUCAACGAAAGAAACAACAAAGUACCCACUGCAGUUGCUACAUUUUACUGCCAAGUUGUAAAAGAAAUCACAUUCUCAUUUUAGGUAAAUGGUCAGAUAUAUGAAUGCUGAAAGCUCUCUACUGUCAUCCUGCGAUGUGCCGCAGCACCCAGAGGGAGGAGUGAGCCUGGAGACCACCUCUUUCACAGCAGUGAGCUCCUGGUGCCACAGCGAUGGCUGUAUGUACAAAAGCUGUUGGUAUGGUGCUGUCUCUGACCAGAACAGCAAGCCAUGCCCAGCUGGGGGAGAGAAGCACAUCUUUGAACCAACCUUCUCUUUCUUUCUCCCAGCACUGACUUCCAUGGGCUGCAAAGAGAAGCAUUUCUCCCUCACUUCACCAGUGCUGUGUGAAAUGCCCUCUAAAUGCUAAUUUCAUUUCACUUCUACAACAGUAGAAAUAAAUACAGCACAAAUCUUCCUUCUCUGCAGUGCUUUUUUUCUUGACUGCUGUAUCUAAAUGUCCCUUCAAUCUAGUAUCUCUUAAUAGUUCAGUAAAGAAUUACUCAUGGGACUAUC